rnacentral:rRNA from 1 species
GACGUAGGGCGCGAGCGUUGUCCGGAUUUAUUGGGCGUAAAGAGCUCGUAGGCGGCUUGUCGCGUCGAAUGUGAAAUCUCAGGGCUCAACCCUGAAACUGCAUUCGAUACUGCGUGGCUAGAGUGCUGGAGAGGAGACUGGAAUUUACGGUGUAGCAGUGAAAUGCGUAGAUAUCGUAAGGAAGACCAGUGGCGAAGGCGAGUCUCUGGACAGCAACUGACGCUGAGGCACGAAGGCCAGGGGAGCAAACGGGG